rnacentral:rRNA from 1 species
UACGUAGGGUGCGAGCGUUAAUCGGAAUUACUGGGCGUAAAGCGUGCGCAGGCGGUCUGUUAAGACAGAUGUGAAAUCCCCGGGCUUAACCUGGGAACUGCAUUUGUGACUGGCAGGCUAGAGUAUGGCAGAGGGGGGUGGAAUUCCACGUGUAGCAGUGAAAUGCGUAGAGAUGUGGAGGAACACCGAUGGCGAAGGCAGCCCCCUGGGCUGAGAUUGACGCUCAGGCACGAAAGCGUGGGGAGCAAACAGG